CACGUAGGGCGCAAGCGUUGUCCGGAAUUAUUGGGCGUAAAGAGCUCGUAGGCGGUCUGUUGCGUCCGCUGUGAAAACUCGGGGCUUAACCCCGAGCCUGCAGUGGAUACGGGCAGACUAGAGUGAUGUAGGGGGAGACUGGAAUUCCUGGUGUAGCGGUGAAAUGCGCAGAUAUCAGGAGGAACACCGAUGGCGAAGGCAGGUCUCUGGGCAUUAACUGACGCUGAGGAGCGAAAGCAUGGGGAGCGAACAGG
rnacentral:rRNA from 1 species